rnacentral:rRNA from 1 species
AGUGAACGCUGGCGGCAGGCCUAACACAUGCAAGUCGAGCGGCAGCGCGUCCGACCACCCUCGGGUGGUCGGAUGGCGGCGAGCGGCGGACGGGUGAGGAAUGCAUCGGAAUCUGCCUCGUUGUGGGGGAUAACGUAGGGAAACUUACGCUAAUACCGCAUACGACCUACGGGUGAAAGUGGGGGACCUUCGGGCCUCACGCGAUGAGAUGAGCCGAUGCCGGAUUAGCUAGUUGGCGGGGUAAAGGCCCACCAAGGCGACGAUCCGUAGCUGGUCUGAGAGGAUGAUCAGCCACACUGGAACUGAGACACGGUCCAGACUCCUACGGGAGGCAGCAGUAGGGAAUAUUGGACAAUGGGGGCGAACCCUCGAUCCAGCCAUGCCGCGUGAGUGAAGAAGGCCCUCGGUUGUAAAGCUCUUUUGUCCGGAAAGAAAGCAAUCGGUUAAUACCCGGUUGUUCUGACGGUACCGGAAGAAUAAGCACCGGCUAACUUCGUGCCAGCAGCC